rnacentral:lncRNA from 1 species
ACAAACAUGCCAUGGGAGACAUCCACACCAAGGAGCUAAUUAAAUAUGAAACAACAACUGAUAUAUGAUGCUAAGAAGCCCUUUCCUAAGGAUGGCAAUGGGUUAAGCUAGUUAAUACUCGUAUUCAUUUCAGAAUUAAAAACUCCACGUCCAUAUCUGCCUUCUCCUCGAGUCGAGUAAGGUUGGCUGCAAGUAGUGGUGCGGA